CAGAAUCGUCACAUGAAGAUGGUAACAUCACAACGAAAACAACAACCUUUGCUGAUGGAACUACUGAAGGAAGAACACCCCUUCUUGAAACAGAAUCGUCACAUCAAGAUGGUACCAUCACAGCGGAA